rnacentral:rRNA from 1 species
CCUACGGGAGGCAGCAGUAGGGAAUCUUUCACAAUGGGCGAAAGCCUGAUGGAGCAACGCCGCGUGCAGGAUGAAGGCCUUCGGGUUGUAAACUGCUUUUAUAAGCGAGAAAUAUGAUGGUAACUUAUGAAUAAGGAUCGGCUAACUACGUGCCAGCAGCCGCGGUCAUACGUAGGAUCCGAGCAUUAUCCGGAGUGACUGGGUGUAAAGAGUUGCGUAGGUGGCAUAAUAAGUAGCUAGUGAAAUCUGGUGGCUCAACCAUUCAGACUAUUAGCUAAACUGUUAAGCUCGAGACCGUUAGGGGUAACUGGAAUUUCUAGUGUAGGAGUGAAAUCCGUAGAGAUUAGAAGGAACACCAAUAGCGUAGGCAGGUUGCUGGGACGGUUCUGACACUAAGGCACGAAAGCGUAGGGAGCAAACGGGAUUAGAUACCCCAGUAGUC